UACGAAGGGGGCUAGCGUUGUUCGGAAUUACUGGGCGUAAAGCGCGCGCAGGCGGUUUCUCAAGUCGGUGGUGAAAUCCUGGAGCUCAACUCCAGAACUGCCUUCAAUACUGGGAGUCUUCGAGUCCGGGAGAGGUGAGUGGAACUGCGAGUGUAGAGGUGAAAUUCGUAGAUAUUCGCAAGAACACCAGUGGCGAAGGCGGCUCACUGGCCCGGUACUGACGCUGAGGUGCGAAAGCGUGGGGAGCAAACAGG
rnacentral:rRNA from 1 species